rnacentral:rRNA from 1 species
GUGCCAGCAGCCGCGGUAAUACGUAGGGUGCAAGCGUUAAUCGGAAUUACUGGGCGUAAAGCGUGCGCAGGCGGUUUUGUAAGUCUGUCGUGAAAGCCCCGGGCUCAACCUGGGAAUUGCGAUGGAGACUGCAAGGCUUGAAUCUGGUAGAGGGGGGUAGAAUUCCACGUGUAGCAGUGAAAUGCGUAGAGAUGUGGAGGAACACCGAUGGCGAAGGCAGCCCCCUGGGUCAAGAUUGACGCUCAUGCACGAAAGCGUGGGGAGCA